UGCGUAGGCGGCUUUCUAAGUUGGAUGUGAAAACUAUGGGCUCAACCCAUAGCCUGCAUCCAAAACUGGAGAGCUUGGGUUCUGGAGGGGAAAGCGGAAUUCCUGGUGUAGCGGUGAAAUGCGUAGAUAUCAGGAGGAACACCGGUGGCGAAGGCGGCUUUCUGGACAGAUACCGACGCUGAGGCACGAAAGCUAGGGAGCAAACA
rnacentral:rRNA from 1 species